AAUCAACGCGGGCGGCGUGCUAACACAUGCAAGUCGAACGAGAAAGUGGAGCAAUCCAUGAGUAAAGUGGCGACCGGGUGAGUAACACGUGACUAACCUACCUUCAAGUGGGGGAUAACCUCGGGAAACCGGGGCUAAUACCGCAUAACAUCUUGGAGUGGAAAUUCUGGAGAUCAAAGGAGCAAUUCGCUGGAAGAGGGGGUCGCGGCUGAUUAGCUAGUUGGCGGGGUAAUGGCCCACCAAGGCUUUGAUCGGUAGCCGGCCUGAGAGGGCGCACGGCCACACUGGAACUGAAACACGGUCCAGACUCCUACGGGAGGCAGCAGUGGGGAAUUUUGCGCAAUGGGGGAAACCCUGACGCAGCAACGCCGCGUGGAGGAUGAAGUCCCUUGGGACGUAAACUCCUUUCGACCGGGAAGAUUAUGACGGUACCGGUGGAAGAAGCCCCGGCUAACUUCGUGCCAGCAGCCGCGGUAAUACGAGGGGGGCAAGCGUUGUUCGGAAUUAUUGGGCGUAAAGGGCGCGUAGGCGGUGCGGUAAGUCACCUGUGAAACCUCUAGGCUUAACCUAGAGCCUGCAAGCGAAACUGCCG
rnacentral:rRNA from 1 species